rnacentral:rRNA from 1 species
AUGAUGGUACAUCACCAACCGGCUGCCAUACCAGGCGAGGAAGGCCCAAAUGGCGAAAGAGAGACCGGUGAAUCCGACAGCAAGGCCUUUGGCAAUGCCCUGCUUGAUCCCCAGGUUGAUGGUCUUGUCGAGGAUUGCUGUGUACCUCUGGAUGAUCCCUUUCUCUGCAGUGAAGGAGUAAACGGUCUUGAUGGAGCCGAGUGCUUGCUCCACGAGGGAGUUUGCCUUGGCGUACUCGCGGCGCGACUCGCGGGAGAGGUACAGAAGGUACUUCCCGUAGAUGAGGCCAGGGAUGAUGAGGAGCAGGACCAGAGGGUAGGAAACCAAAGCCAGCCUCCAGGAGAAAUAGGUGGAGAAGGCGAGUCCAGAGACGAAGACCGUGGAGUGCAUCAGAAACAGAGGAACCUGUUCAAGGUAAAAGAAUCAAGAAAAACAGUCACUUCUGCUGUUAUUUCUUUUCACAUUCCAGAUCUACUAGUUCAUAUUGUCCCUUUUCCAAAAUUAUUUUUAGCACGUCUGCGUUUCCAAAAUUAA